rnacentral:rRNA from 1 species
UACGUAGGGGGCAAGCGUUGUCCGGAAUCAUUGGGCGUAAAGCGCGUGUAGGCGGCCCGGUAAGUCCGCUGUGAAAGUCGGGGGCUCAACCCUCGGAUGCCGGUGGAUACUGUCGGGCUCGAGUACGGAAGAGGCGAGUGGAAUUCCUGGUGUAGCGGUGGAAUGCGCAGAUAUCAGGAGGAACACCAAUAGCGAAGGCAGCUCGCUGGGACGGUACUGACGCUAAGGCGCGAAAGCGUGGGGAGCGAACAGG